rnacentral:rRNA from 1 species
UACAGAGGUCCCAAGCGUUGUUCGGAUUCAUUGGGCGUAAAGGGUGCGUAGGCGGCCCUGUAAGUCAGUGCUGAAAUAUCCCCGGCUUAACCGGGAGGGUGGCAUUGAUACUGCAGGGCUUGAGUGAAGUCGAGGUAGGCGGAAUUGACGGUGUAGCGGUGAAAUGCUUAGAUAUCGUCAAGAACACCGAUAGUGAAGACAGCUUACUAGGCUUAUACUGACGCUGAGGCACGAAAGUGUGGGGAUCAAACAGG